AAGCGUCGCGCCGUGGAAAUUUGCGAACAGUCAAUCCUCGAUAGCGGCGAGUGGGACACGCGGGACACGUGGGAAGCACCGAUUGGUCUAGGGAUACCCGCCACCAUAAUUGCACUAAGAUCCGCUGCCUAUUUAAACCCCCUACCCUUCCUUCGGGGCUUUACUCCGCCUAAAAGACGGCACCUUUCUUUCGUCUGAGAGCCUAGCUACUCAGCCACUCCCUUGGUGCCCCUGUCAACUCCGAGCGUCCUCCGCAUCGGUCUUUGCCGCCUCUCUACCAUCCUUAGCCCCCCGAUUCCUCUUUAAGGGGCUUCCCCGUCAGGUCCUCCACCCCAGAGGCCAUCCUCAAGAGGAUGCCAAGGGCUUGGAGGAAGGCAAGAAGGAGAACAGCGGUCUGCGAGUUCUCCGGUCAUCGAGCGGUCGCUGAAGGUCCCCGUCGCUUCAAAGGGGGUUUGAGGAAGAAUUCCUUCAACAACAGGGGUUUAAUGAC
rnacentral:lncRNA from 1 species